UACGGGGGGGGUAAGCGUUGUUCGGAAUUACUGGGCGUAAAGGGCUCGUAGGCGGCCAACUAAGUCAUACGUGAAAUCCCUCAGCUUAACUGGGGAACUGCGUGUGAUACUGGAUGGCUUGGAUUUGGGAGAGGGAUGCGGAAUUCCAGGUGUAGCGGUGAAAUGCGCAGAUAUCAGGAAGAACACCGAUGGCGAAAGCAGCUCUCUGGGACGGUACUGACGCUGAGGAGCGAAAGCGUGGGGAGCAAACAGG
rnacentral:rRNA from 1 species